rnacentral:rRNA from 1 species
GAUGAACGCUAGCGGCAGGCUUAACACAUGCAAGUCGAGGGGUAGAAGUUGCUUGCAACUUUGAGACCGGCGCACGGGUGCGUAACGCGUAUGCAAUCUACCUUAUACAGAGGGAUAGCCCAGAGAAAUUUGGAUUAAUACCUCAUAGUAUAAUUGAAUGGCAUCAUUUAAUUAUUAAAGUUCCAACGGUAUAAGAUGAGCAUGCGUACUAUUAGCUAGGUGGUAAGGUAACGGCUUACCAUGGCAACGAUAGGUAGGGGUCCUGAGAGGGAGAUCCCCCACACUGGUACUGAGACACGGACCAGACUCCUACGGGGGGCAGCAGUGAGGAAUAUUGGACAAUGGGCGCAAGCCUGAUCCAGCCAUGCCGCGUGCAGGAAGAAGCAUCUAUGGUGUGUAAACUGCUUUUGUACGGGAAGAAACACUCCUUCGUGAAGGAGCUUGACGGUACCGUAAGAAUAAGGAUCGGCUAACUCCGUGCCAGCCGCCGCGGUAACAC